GUGCUCGCUUCGGCAGCACAUAUACUAAAAUUGGAACAAUACAGAGAAGGUUAGUAUGGCCCCUGCACAAGGAUGACAUGCAAAUUCCUGAAGCAUUCCGUAUUUUA
rnacentral:snRNA from 1 species